CCUAAAAGAAAGGAACAUAAUAACAGAUGAAUGUGCCCAUGGGGAAGGGUCUACAGCAAACACUAUUUAUCCCAACACCAGUACAGCAAAAGUAAACAAGGUAUAGAACUGCAUGCCUCAAGGAGGCAAAGCAGGGAGGGAAGCCUGAGCCCCUGUGGGAUGAGAGGGUCAGCCUGCCAAGGGUGAAUCUGUCCAAAUCCCAUCAGGGCACCAGCACCUUCACACAGGAUAUCCACCUCACAGGCUCCUUUUCCUACCCAGUUCUUAAGAGCUAGUCCACAGUCACUGUUACAGUGUCUGAAAUUCAAGGGAACAGGGAAAACUCGAGAGAAGGGAAAAGGAGCAGAGAGACUAAGAUAUAUUUGGCGGUGAGAUGGUGGAUUCAGACACCAGCUAGGAAAAAGUAGGCUGACCUGGCAGCGGUGGAAAGGCAAGAGGAAUGGUUAUUGAGGAAGAGCAUUUGCAUGAACAAUGAAAAUGGGCUGUAUUAGGUCAAAGGAGAGGUUUGGAUGACACCCAGAAGUACACAAAGGGGCAGGGUAGCAUUCUCACUACUGGGCCUCAGCUGGUGGAUAAAACUUCGUAGCAUUUAAAAUGCUGAGUGCCACUAUAUUGUAAAAGUAUUAUCAUCAACUCUCUAACUCCCUUCUACCAGAAUGUUUGUAAGAUUUUCCAAAGGUGCUUACUGGAUAUUUCAGGUACUUUAGUGCUAAAAUCAGCCUCAUGGCUUCUUUCUUUGGAGAAGUAUCAUUAACAAAAGGGUUAUCUGAUUUUCUUUUUCCAGUGUGGAAUAAAGAUCCCUUCAGAUGCCUUAUCCUUUUUUAGCAUAAGCCUCAGCACCAAGGAUAUAUCAACGAAGAUCCCAUCAAAGUAAAAAUCUGUGCAUUUUGAUACAGGGAGUGACUGGUAUUGAAAGCAUGCUUCCUCCUUGGACCAAGAAGAAAUAAACAUUCUUUUCUCUUUUGAAGCAUUUACAAAACAUGAAAAAGCGCAACAGACCCAAUGAACGAGUUGUACUCCUUUUCGCAAGGCUGUAUUCCUUCUGCUGACUCAUGGGGCGCCAGUUUUUUUUUUUUUUUUAAGAAAAUCAGGAGCCAACAGUCAAGCCCAUAACAUCAGGAGUAAAAAAGUUUUAUCUACCAUAGAAGCAUGAGCUUCUCUCAUAAAAUCUUACUACAGUCGGCUUUUAAGUGUUUGUUAAUAGCAGGAAUGAUGCAGGAGGUAGAUGGGCCCUUUUCCAGUUUACAAGGUGUGACACUUAGGAAAUGGACCAUAUUGUACACAGAGGGAUCUCUUUACCCUUCAUCCUGUUCUGUGGAUUUCCCCAAAACAGAAAUAAACCAAGAAUGAUUUCUGUUGACAGGGCUGGAGCUUAGUUUAUUUCUGUAACAGUUACAUUAAGGAAAAAGGGAAGAAUAACAAACACCUCUUUUUUCUAUUACUAUCCAAAAAUCAUAGAAAUAACUACUCUAUCUUGGAUCAGCGCUAUAUUAACCUUUCAUUUUAAGUUUCUAGACUGGUUCUAUCACAGCUAGGAGAUAUACUGUCAUGAAAAAAAA